GUGGGGGAUAACGUAGCGAAAGUUACGCUAAUACCGCAUAUUCUGUGAGCAGGAAAGCAGGGGAUCGCAAGACCUUGCGCUGAUUGAGCGGCCGAUAUCAGAUUAGCUUGUUGGUGAGGUAAAAGCUCACCAAGGCGACGAUCUGUAGCGGGUCUGAGAGGAUGAUCCGCCACACUGGAACUGAGACACGGUCCAGACUCCUACGGGAGGCAGCAGUGGGGAAUUUUGGACAAUGGGGGGCAACCCUGAUCCAGCCAUGCCACGUGAGUGAAGAAGGCCUUCGGGUUGUAAAGCUCUUUCAGCCGGGAAGAAAACGCAUGGGUUAAUACCCUGUGUGGAUGACGGUACCGGAAUAAGAAGCACCGGCUAACUACGUGCCAGCAGCCGCGGUAAUACGUAGGGUGCGAGCGUUAAUCGGAAUUACUGGGCGUAAAGCGUGCGCAGGCGGUUUUGUAAGACAGGCGUGAAAUCCCCGGGCUUAACCUGGGAACUGCGUUUGUGACUGCAAGGCUAGAGUACGGCAGAGGGGGGUGGAAUUCCACGUGUAGCAGUGAAAUGCGUAGAGAUGUGGAGGAACACCAAUGGCGAAGGCAGCCCCCUGGGUCGAUACUGACGCUCAUGCACGAAAGCGUGGGUAGCAAACAGGAUUAGAUACCCUGGUAGUCCACGCCCUAAACGAUGUCAACUAGGUGUUGGGAGGGUAAAACCUUUUAGUACCGGAGCUAACGCGUGAAGUUGACCGCCUGGGGAGUACGGCCGCAAGGUUAAAACUCAAAGGAAUUGACGGGGACCCGCACAAGCGGUGGAUGAUGUGGAUUAAUUCGAUGCAACGCGAAAAACCUUACCUACCCUUGACAUGCCAAGAACUUUCCAGAGAUGGAUUGGUGCCCGAAAGGGAACUUGGACACAGGUGCUGCAUGGCUGUCGUCAGCUCGUGUCGUGAGAUGUUGGGUUAAGUCCCGCAACGAGCGCAACCCUUGUCGUUAAUUGCCAUCAUUUAGUUGGGCACUUUAACGAGACUGCCGGUGACAAACCGGAGGAAGGUGGGGAUGACGUCAAGUCCUCAUGGCCCUUAUGGGUAGGGCUUCACACGUCAUACAAUGGUCGGUACAAAGGGUCGCCAAGCCGCGAGGUGGAGCCAAUCCCAGAAAGCCGAUCGUAGUCCGGAUCGCAGUCUGCAACUCGACUGCGUGAAGUCGGAAUCGCUAGUAAUCG
rnacentral:rRNA from 1 species